UACGGGGGGGGCAAGCGUUGUUCGGAAUUACUGGGCGUAAAGGGCUCGUAGGCGGCCAACUAAGUCAGACGUGAAAUCCCUCGGCUUAACCGGGGAACUGCGUCUGAUACUGGAUGGCUUGAGUUUGGGAGAGGGAUGCGGAAUUCCAGGUGUAGCGGUGAAAUGCGCAGAUAUUGGGAAGAACACCAGUGGCGAAGGCGGUCUCUGGGACGGUACUGACGCGUGAGACGCGAAAGCGUGGGGAGCGAACAGG
rnacentral:rRNA from 1 species